GAUGAACGCUAGCUACAGGCUUAACACAUGCAAGUCGAGGGGAAACGAUAUUGGAAGCUUGCUUCCGAUAGGCGUCGACCGGCGCACGGGUGAGUAACGCGUAUCCAACCUGCCCACCACUUGGGGAUAACCUUGCGAAAGUAAGACUAAUACCCAAUGACGUCCAUAGAAGACAUCUGAAAUGGAUUAAAGAUUUAUCGGUGAUGGAUGGGGAUGCGUCUGAUUAGCUUGUUGGCGGGGUAACGGCCCACCAAGGCGACGAUCAGUAGGGGUUCUGAGAGGAAGGUCCCCCACAUUGGAACUGAGACACGGUCCAAACUCCUACGGGAGGCAGCAGUGAGGAAUAUUGGUCAAUGGGCGAGAGCCUGAACCAGCCAAGUAGCGUGCAGGAUGACGGCCCUAUGGGUUGUAAACUGCUUUUAUAAGGGAAUAAAGUGAGUCUCGUGAGACUUUUUGCAUGUACCUUAUGAAUAAGGACCGGCUAAUUCCGUGCCAGCAGCCGCCGUAA
rnacentral:rRNA from 1 species